UUUUUUUUUAUUAUUUAUAUUUAUUUAUUUAUACUUUUUAAGAUAAGUUAAAAAAUAAGGACGAAAUUAAAAAUUAUGCCAAGCUCUUCUACUGAACUAAAAAUAAAAUGGAAAACAGAAAAAUAAUCUGGGCCUCGUUGGAAAAAAAAAAAAAAGUUUGACUUCCAAUAUUAUGGUCAAACGUCAGAAGUCCAAAUAAAGCUUUGGGCUACAACAAGACUUCUUUUCUCUUAAGAACCGGCUUUCGUC
rnacentral:lncRNA from 1 species